UGAUAUGGUGGUUGGUUAUGGGGGGGGGGGGGGGGGGGAAGAGAGGGGGGGGGAUAAGGGGGGAGGAGGGAAAUGUCACCCGAGGUGGGUGAGGGACGGGACGGACAGACAGGCGGACAGCACGGAGAGACGGAGCGGCCCGCCGGCUUGUCAAGGCUCGCUGGAAAAGGAUGGAAAAAUAAUAAAAAAGCAGAGCUCCCCCCCAUAAGACGCACACACAGCCCGGACCCGCACGCUGUUGUUGUUGCCGCUGCCGCCGCGGCUCGGGGAGGAUUUUCGAAAGUGCCUGACGCGAGCUGAGGAGCUGCUGCCUUCCCUCCCCACCGGCUCUGCAAAGCUUCCCCUCACGGAUCCUGGUCCUGCACAGCCCAGCUGGACUCCUCGCAGCCGAGUGUCAGCAGGCCCGAGCUUCCCCGGGAGCCCACCGCCCGCUUCCAGAGCUGCAUCCACCAAAAUAAUCCACGAAAAUAUCAGCAGAUUCCGUAGGGAGAGCCAAUCUCUCUCUCUCUCUCUCUCUCUCUCUCUCUCUUCCCCCUCUUUUUUUUUUUUUUUUUAACCAACUGACACAGUUGGAGAGAACAGCAAGCUUUUGGGCUCACAGAGCUUAGACCAUCAUGGCUACGAAAACUGUGCUGCUAGUCAGAAAAAAAACAAAACAAAACAAAACACAAAAACACGUAAUUCUGGAGCUCCUUAGUGAAAAAGCAGUGCAAAACAACGUCGGAGCAGUUGCAAAGUGAUCUUCUCUGCAGCACCCACAAACUUCAGCCUUGAACUGAAGAGGACUCAUCAAAUGCCUUGGGAGAUACAGAAAGAAACUGGAAGAGAAGCAGGGGUCUACAUGAAGGGCAGUCCACUGGAGUCUUGGUGUGUGGAGGAACGGGUCCCGUUCUGGCUGUUGUUACUCCCACAUAGGUGGACUCUGUAACUGAUUAUGUGUGGGUAGGGCCCUAAUUGAAAUUAAGGAGAUUCUGCAGUAGUGCAGGGUUCUGUUUGUGAAAGUUGAGUUGCAAGAUCAGGACCCUACUGUGACUUCUUACUGUGAAUUCUGUCACUGUAUCAUUGCUUGUGCUGGAACCUGCCUUUUGGGAUAAUGUAAGUCCUGCUUUUCCCCCAAAUGUACUUUAGACAUGAAAUAAUCAUAAAAACGUUCCUAAUUAGAAAAUAAAUAUCAUUUACAUGCGUUCUUUUAAUUAUGUUUUUUUGGCAGUACCAAAUAAUAUAUUCCUCAAAACUUCUUAAUGGCACUGAGGCUUUGUGGAUAGUUGGUCACAUGAUGAGAAAAUUCAGCUAUCAUGGGCAAGGAGAAAACCCUUUACCUAUCCACGCGAGCAAUGCUAUUACCCUGCUUACACUCCUUAAUUGUCUGGACGGGAAGCUUGGCUUCUGGUUCAACCACAUGCUCUUCAGGUUUUGCAGCUCUGAUAGUAUGGUUUUUAUGACUAGUGUCAAACGUGAAGCUUUCAAAGCCACGUGCCAAAGGCGGCCGGAGCGGUGAAAGCUGUCCCCCCCCUCUCCAGGCUGCAGCCACCGGGUGCCUCUCCAGCUGCUGCUGCGGGCUGUCAUCUAUUUUUAAAAUGUGGCCACUUAAAAGAAUGUUUUUGUCUUAAGAGCAGGUAGCAGAACUUGAAGAAAGAAGAGUAGUUACCUUCAUUGCUGCAAUUCUUCGACGUGCUCUUUGUACACCUCCCACUGCUGGCCCCUCGGUUCCCCAGGUGAUGUGGACUGCGGGCUGCUGAAGAGCUGGGCGGUGAUCUGUUUGCACGCUGGAGGGAGGAAAAGCAGAGGGGAAUUUUUGUGGUUCUGGAUCUGCACUGUGUUUGGGGUCAAACUCCAGCCUAGCACUACCCAUUCCUAAGGAGUAUCAGAAGGAAAGAGUGCUACAGAGCAGGGAGGUUGCCCCAGUUUCAAACCCGUGCCUUUCAGACCUCUUCGGGUCAGUAUUAUAUGGGAGAACUGGAGGAACCAGGAUGUGAAGUUGUCUGCUCAGAGCUAUAUCAGAGGCCAGCGACAAAUCCAGGAAUAGAAGCCAAGCCUCCUAAGUUGCAGCCUAAUACACUAAUCAGUGAGGAAUCUUGCCUUCUUAUACUGCAAUGAGAUAAUGCCUCCAGGCCCUAGCCAAGAAAAUGGGGUUUUCCAUCAGGAACGUUGUGGUCUGAUGUUCAAAACCGUCGUGUGUCUGGUAAACGUGAGCAUAAUUCUCCAGUUUUGUGCAUGAUGCAGCAAGCUAAUUUCACUGAAGAAAGUGGUAACUUCAGGAUGAACCCCCAAGGCAUGGCUGCAGUGGCUGCGUGAAACAAGAAACAGAUACCCUUUUUGUGUCACUCCUUUCACUGAUCACCAGGACUCUGAGCCAGGGUGAAGGUGGAGGAAGACUCCUACAGAGAGAGAACCAGGAACGGUUUGUCCCUGUAGAAGGGAGUAAUGACAUUUUUAAAGUUUUUACCAAAUACCAGGACAUGUGAUAAAAUUUUAUGGUUGGGAAUUAAUCAAAAGACCAUGAAAUGGGACAGAAUGCACAUUACAGAAAGCCUUGGAGAGCUGCAACCUAAGCACCCUGAAAUCUGUGACCAAGCCCACAGGACACCUCUUGAGUUAUUGCAGCCACCUCCAAUGACUGCUAUUUUUUUAUAUAAUUUACCAGCCCCAGUAAACUUCCCCAGACAGACUGGGAAAAGAUGUUCUUUCUGUUAAUUUUAGGCCAGAGAAAGACUCCAAAUGUAUUCUGGGUAGUGAAAUAUUUGGCUCAUGGAAUUAGCUGCAGAAAAAAAAAACACCAAACAGUGUAAAUUUGCACCUUGGAGUGGGUACAUGUUUUGAAAAGGAUGGUUCCAAAGAUAAUGUGCUUGUAUCUAAACUCUGUUAUCUGCAACAUACAGAUUUACAGUUUUAUCUGUAUUAAAUAGCACAUCUGUAUGCUGAAACAUGACAUGUAUGAUUAAAAUAAUGACUGUAACUAUAGACCUAUGUAAAUAUUAUCUAGAUCAUAUGUGUAAAUAUUAAAGAAAUUGUUUAAUUUCUAGAGAUUACAGACAACACUUAAAAAUGUUACACAGUCUCCCCCUCACAAGUUUUUUGUAUAAUUACCAGUUAAGAGCUAAUUAAUCUACUCGCUUUUUAAAAUAUUUGCAGUUGUGUUAAAUUUUACUGAGGAGCAAUUUAGUUGUCUUGUUGUUUGAACAGGAAGUCCUCGGGUAUUUGUCCCAAAUACCAAUAUUUUCACUCUGCUGACAGCUGUAUGUUUGUGGUCACCCUUCGGCAAUGUAUGUGAAGAAUGUAUACAGUGGCAGUGCCUCCUCGAGAGAGUACCAGGAGGAAAAUUGUAUGUGGUCAACCCACAUGUAAUUUGUUCUCCUUAGUGGAGGUCUCACAUGUACAGCACUUAAAUGACACUUUUUGUUUCUGGAUAAGAUGAAGGUAACUGAUAGAAACCAUUCAAAAGUCUCUUGGGCUGUUGCUUACGUUCCCUGAAAUGGGCUAAAGAGAACAGCUCUUUGGAGACACAGCUUUACAUUGAACAUAUGCAGGGCUGUGUCAUUAUUAAUUCUGCAAAUGUGUUUACAAUGGUUAGGUAAAAUAUUUAGUUACUAUUUAAAUAUUUUGAUGUAUUAUAGCUCGUACCCGAAUUUCAGAUGUCUACUGCACUUAACAUUUCCAAUUUAAAUAACCGGUUUCAUUAAGGUUUUUAGUGAUACAAAUUAAUAACAAAAGGCAGUUAAUGCAGAGUACGGUUAUGAGACCAACAUACAUGUGGUUUAAAUUUAAAGAAUUAAAUGUUAGCAUUUCCCUAUAGAGAAAGGUUAUUUGGGCAGUGGUGUACUGACAUUAUCACCACCCACGGAGAAGGGGACCUGUUGAUCCUAUUGGUUAAGCAGAAAUUCAAAAACGGAAGAAAUGUCGGUCUAGAGGGUUUGCUCGGUGUGAGUGAAUCACACAGGAAAAAUGCUGAUACCUAGAGUAGCUGCAGUGACCUUCUUUGAUGGUUAGAAAGAGAAAUAAUCACACAGGAUUUUUUGUCAAAGUUGGAGGGUUUAGGUUGCUUGCUGGCUAAAACCGGCCUGGGUUAUUAAUAUAGUGGAAAGUUAAAUGAUGAGCAUGGAAAUAUGAUAAUAAGUGCUGUUGUAAAUGAGACAGAAAUGAUUUUCUGUGGCUGGUAAGAAUGGUAAUCCAAUGUGUUAACCAUUGGGCUGGAGGGCUGCUAAGAAAAUAAAUGUGCAAAGUGGGUAAAAUAAAGGAUAAAAGUAUGUUUAUGUAGGCGUUUCUUCAAAGCUUUCUUCAGUAAGGUGUUUCUGGACACUGCUGUACUGCUUUGGACAAGUCAUGUCUGUUAAAAUAAAAGUAAGCAAACAGCUUUUGUUUUAGCAAUAAAUACUGCUAACUGUACCUCUGGAUUUCUGCCUUUGCGUUUUUAUAAUGAUUUUAGUGGGCCUAGCUAGAAACAAAUUUAUUAGAGAUAGAUAGCAAUUACUAAUUUGGCACUAUUUAAUAUUAGUUUAAUCCGGCAAUGAUGUCUUCACCUAUUAUUCCUGGAAGAAACUGCAUGAAGUUGUGUGGUUUUGGGUAGUUUUGUGUGGAUGUGGGACUGCACAGAGAAGGCAGGUCUCAGCAUCAGUGCAUGUAAGGAAAGCUUGUCUCUGACCCUCAAGCUGACAGCUUGAAAAUGGUCCAGGUUGAAACCCAGGCUGCCAGUACUCUGCACUUUGGCGUUUGAAAAUUUCUGGGCGAGACUUAGUUUCAAUCUGAAAAGUCAAAAUAAAGUGGUUUACACUCAGUUUUGCUUUGUUUGAAGCCAAAACUCAAAGCAAAACUCCUGGUGUAUAGAUCUGUACGUGGCAAAACAUAAGAAAGUGAACCCAAGAGCUCAGCAAACUGAGCAAGCUAGUUUCACUUAGCUCUCAAAAUAAUCCCCAUUUUGCAAGUUCACUUUUCAAUUGCACAUGUGUGAGAUGUCAAAAAUGAGCUGGUUUCGCUACCCCAGGGGUAGUGCAGCUCCAAAGCAUCACUCUGUCAGAGCAAGGUCUCGUGUGCUCGCUCUCUGUUUCAGCUGAUACUUUGGAUGUUUGUCAAGAGAUAAAAGUUUCUCUGUCCCAGGCUGGUUACGUUUAGCUUUUGUUCAUCUGCAAGACAAGGGAUUUGGGGUAAGACCCAAAUCCCAGCCCGUAUUUUUUCAUACCCAGCUCUAAAUCUCUGGUAAUGCUCUAAAUGGCACCCAGUCCUCAGACGGCAGGAGUCACUUACUUCACCUCGGGGAGGUCAUCCAAGGAUUCACGUAUGUUAAGUUCAAGGCCUGAUGUUGCAGAGAUGCUGAACAUCUGCUGCUCUCUCUAGCUAGCAUGGGAGCUGCGGGUACUCAGGCCUUUGUCAACAUCAGAUCCUCAUUCCCCAGGCACUCUUAUUCAAAAGAAAGCAAAGAGCAACCCGCUGGUCUGCUUUAUCUUUUUUGUAAAAAUGUGGUGCAACUGGCUAGAAGCAAACCUGUGAGCUGCACCCAGACAGUGACACUUUUAUCAGAGCAUAGCUGAGUGCUUGGGAGCUCGUUCUGUUCAGGGUUCCUCUGCUUACUCAUCAGCUGAUCCAUUUCUUUCCUUGGUUUCCAAAAAAAUACUGCGAGACUGCCCUCCUUAGCUGCUAAAAUGACCGCUGAUGGAAGGGCGAGGCCUCGGCAGUAGUGAGGCUGAGUCAGCUUCUAGAUGCAGAUCUCAGACUCUGGCAGCUCUGUUAAGAAGGAAGGACUAGAGCGAUGUUCAAAAGAAAUGUAGUAUCAGAUCAUCAGUGAUCUCGUGUGCAUAUAUUUUGCUCAUUCAGGAAGCAGAAGUCAAAUUCUCAUGGCAAGCCAGGACCUAGUAAAAUUCAGAGUGCCGGGGAAAUGGAUGAACUCAAAGAUUUAAGGAUAUCUGGAAAUACAGCUCACAAGCUGGGUUACAUGAGGAUUAUAUUGUGAGUAGAAUUUACAAUACCAUGGCUCACCCCUGCACAGGAGUGAGUUUUGUCAUGUGUGAGCAUACGUUAAAGGAAAAACCAUGGGGCUGCUGGUGGAAAGCAAAUAUUACGUGACUCCGAAUCUCACUUGGUAUUUUAAACCAUAAGAGUUUCGGAUUUGAGUCAUAGUAACUUGUGAGUAAGAUAUAUAUAUAUAUGUAUAGAGAACUUGCAAGCUGUAAGCAAGGCUUCAGCCUUGAGGUUAUUUUCACCUCAAAUUGCACAUUUGGUCCUCUGUUCUUGUAAAUCAUUGUAGCCUCAAUUCAAAUUUAGAAGUCAGGUGAGAUGCCUCCAAACUUUCGGAAGAAAUUGGAUCCAGAAACCUUUAUAUGCUUCUAUUUUCUUCUCUGUUUGGCCACUCUGGUGUCCAGAAGCUCUGGUCCAUCCAACAUGUUACACCUUUCUCACUCCUCUGCUUCUCUGCAUGGCUGACAACAGUCUCUGAACAGAGCUGACAUCAAGAUUCAUCUAACAUCUAAUUUGCCCUUUCAGAGCUUUCAGCGGCAUCAACUCCUUCAGCAGGAGCAGAAACUUUCUUAGCAGUGCUCAGAGAGCACCCUCAACCCAGGAUCUUCACUGGAACACCCCUUUUGUCAGAGCAAGAGCUGGAGAAGAUGGCACAUGAGAGUCAUCUCAUGUGGGGAAAAGUCUCUUUUCUUUUUUUUUUUUUUUUUAAUUCAUCACUUUGACUUAAAACACCUAGAGGAGCUGUGCAAGGAGUUGCUUGUUGAACAGAAGACUGUAAGGACUCGUUUUUAGUAACAAACCCCAGACUAUUAGCCCUGCCAUUUUUUCCACUGCUGGAGGAAAACGUGGACUCUUGCUGAGUUAUACGUAGCCCGAUCCUUCUGUACAGGUCUGAUUACUGGAGAGCUGAAGCAUGCUUUACAAGCAAAAUGGCUGCAUGGGCACACCUAAAGGAACCUGCCUCUUUCCGUAAUUCUUGACCGAUUAAUCAGACUUCCUGGCAGUGGUUAUACGAGGAGGAUGACUGAGAAUUUAGUAGCUGCAGAAAGUCCUCCAGUGUGCAAGCCCAGAAGAUGUGUUUAUGUGUCUGGUCAUCUCUGGAAUGCGUGGCUGCAAAGCGAAAGGCUGGGAAACUCUUCUGGGGUGGGACGGCUGCGCCGGCGGUGACCUGCCAGCCCCGACAGACGCAUUGCUGAUGGUGGAGAAGGAAAUCUGGUGCUGAGGGGCUUUGGCAUGUCCGAGGGAUGCUCCGUGCCACCCCACGAGUAAAAAAGCUCAUCGGGCACUGCCAUGCAUCGGGAGGAGAGGUCCACGGUGCAGCAUCCAGACUGGUGGGACUCUCGUGUGCUUCUUCCGUGGGCUUCGAGGCGAUGGGGUUUUGGGGUCGAGGUGGUCCUUGCAUCUCCUGGAGGUUGCUCGAGCCCUUCAGUGCCUCGCAGCCGGCACCCAGCGUUGUGCAGGACGGGGUUCCCGCCGGCUGAAGAGGAAAAAAUCCCAAUUGCGCAGGGCUUCUGCGUGUGCAAAAGGCCCGCUAGAGAACCGCCGGCGCUAAACUGAUCACACAUGUCCUUCAGCUUAGGAGAAGGGAGCUCUAAGUGAGAGCAUGUGUGCUCCGAGUCCCGGGCUGAGAAAAUGUCAGUCUCAGGCGCUUGGGAAGUUCAUAUUGAUACAAACAGGGAGGCUCCCUGCUGCCCACAGAUUUCCCACAUAAAAGUCCUACUGGUAGCCGUGGGAACUUCGCAGCAGCCACGCUGUGGCUAAAGUCACCGCUCUGAAAAUGCAGUGAAAUUAGUGUUCAUAAAAGUGAAAAACACGCCACAAGAAUGAAGACGUUCUGAUUCACAGCCAUGGAAAUUACAUGAGCUCUGGCAUAGGGAAAAGCUGCGUUUUGCUGUUAUCCUGGCUUCAAAAAGGGAUUGCUGGUGAUUUUUUUAAAAACGCCUCUUUGAGCCUCUUUUUGCCUUUUUGCAAAUGAUUUUUUUUUCCACCAAGACACAAAAAAGCCAAGCUGUGCCCAUUAUGCCCCGUGGAAAGGGCAGAUCCUGCGCUGCACAGUGGCCUCUAGUGAAGCUGAGCAGUUUGCUCCAGAACCUGUGAAAUAAUUUCCAGCAGCUGGUUUGUUGCUAAUUUCAGUUCUGCCUUUCGGUCUGGCCGUCACCUCCCCCAGCCAAUGCCACUCGCUUUGUAUAUUUUUAAGGAAAAACAAAAAAGAAAAACACGGCAGGCUAUGGUGGGGCAGUGGGCUUGUUCUGGUGUGAAUUGAACACGAAGCUGGGACCCAGAGAAAAAGGUAAUGCUAGCAGUAAUGCAGCUCUUAUGGUUUAACAGUAUUACUUAACAUGAUUCGAAGUUCCUUUUUUUGACUUUUUCUGCUGUAAGCAGAGGGGAUGGCGAUGUCGGCUGUGGCUCUUGCUGGUAGACUUCGGAUGUGCUGUCAGGGAGCUGUGGAGGCCCCAUCCCCAAGCCCUGCUCCAGCACAGGGUGCCCAGGGCCCCGUGCAGGCGCCUUGUGCCGCACUGCCAGGAGGAGCCCCCCCAGCCUCUCUGGGCAGCCUGGGCCAGUGCUCAGCCGCCCGCCCAGCACAGAAGUGCUGCCUGGUGCUCAGAGGGAGCCUCCUGCCUGCCCCUUGGUGCCCACUGCCCCUGGCCUGGCGCUGGGCACCCCUGAACAGAGCCUGGCUGCGGCCUCUUUGCCCU